rnacentral:rRNA from 1 species
GAUGAACGCUGGCGGCGUGCCUAAUACAUGCAAGUCGAGCGAACAGACGAGGAGCUUGCUCCUCUGACGUUAGCGGCGGACGGGUGAGUAACACGUGGAUAACCUACCUAUAAGACUGGGAUAACUUCGGGAAACCGGAGCUAAUACCGGAUAAUAUAUUGAACCGCAUGGUUCAAUAGUUAAAGACGGUUUUGCUGUCACUUAUAGAUGGAUCCGCGCCGCAUUAGCUAGUUGGUAAGGUAACGGCUUACCAAGGCAACGAUGCGUAGCCGACCGGAGAGGGGGAACGGCCACACUGGAACUGAGACACGGUCCAGACUCCUACGGGAGGCAGCAGUAGGGAAUCUUCCGAAAUGGGGGAAAGCCUGACGGAGCAACGCCGCGUGAGUGAUGAAGGUCUUCGGAUCGUAAAACUCUGUUAUUAGGGAAGAACAAAUGUGUAAGUAACUAUGCACGUCUUGACGGUACCUAAUCAGAAAGCCACGGCUAACUACGUG